GCGGAGGAAAAGAAACCAACAGGGAUUGCCUCAGUAACGGCGAGUGAAGCGGCAUCAGCUCAAAUUUGAAAUCCGGUCUCACGACCCGAGUUGUAAUUUGUAGAGAAUGCUUCGGGCGAGGUUCGGUCUAAGUUCCUUGGAACAGGAUGUCAUAGAGGGUGAGAAUCCCGUAUGCGACCGGUCGCCUCUGCCCAUGUGAAGCUUCUUCGACGAGUCGAGUUGUUUGGGAAUGCAGCUCAAAAUGGGUGGUAAAUUUCAUCUAAAGCUAAAUAUUGGCCAGAGACCGAUAGCGCACAAGUAGAGUGAUCGAAAGAUGAAAAGCACUUUGGAAAGAGAGUUAAACAGUACGUGAAAUUGUUGAAAGGGAAGCGCUUGCAACCAGACUUGCGCGCAGCCGAUCAUCCGGUGUUCUCACCGGUGCACUCGGUUGCGCUCAGGCCAGCAUCGGUUUGGGUGGUUGGAUAAAGGCCUGGGGAAUGUAGCUCCUCUCGGGGAGUGUUAUAGCCCUGGGUGCAAUGCAGCCUACCGAGACCGAGGACCGCGCUUCGGCUAGGAUGCUGGCGUAAUGGUUGUAAGCGACCCGUCUUGAAACACGGACCAAGGAGUCUAACAUCUAUGCGAGUGUUUGGGUGUCAAACCCAUACGCGUAAUGAAAGUGAACGGAGGUGAGAACCCUUAAGGGCGCAUCAUCGACCGAUCCUGAUGUCUUCGGAUGGAUUUGAGUAAGAGCAUAGCUGUUGGGACCCGAAAG
rnacentral:rRNA from 1 species